rnacentral:tRNA from 1 species
GCCGCGGUGGCGGAACUGGAAGACGCGUACGACUCAAAAUCGUAUGGGUUUUGGCCCAUGUGGGUUCGACUCCCACCCGCGGCACCA